rnacentral:rRNA from 1 species
AGAGUUUGAUCCUGGCCCACCAAAUAAGGCUGGCGGCAUGGCUAACACAUGCAAGUCGAACGCGAAAGUUUCCUUCGGGAGACGAGUAGAGUGGCGAAAGGGCGAGGAAUACAUGGGUAACGUACCCUGGGCACGAGGAUAGCUGCGGGAAACUGCGGGUAAUACUCGAUGAGACCGUAGCAUCGCAUGUUGCAUCGGUCAAAGGGUGGGGAUCUCUCCGGAGACCUAUCGGCCUGGGAGCGGCCCAUGUCCUAUCAGCUUGUUGGUGAGGUAAUGGCUCACCAAGGCAUCGACGGGUAGCGGGACUGAGAGGUUGGCCCGCCGCAUUGGGACUGAGACACUGCCCAGACUCCUACGGGAGGCUGCAGUAACGGAUAUUGGACAAUGAACGAAAGUUUGAUCCAGCAAUGCCGCGUGCGGGAAGAAGCUCCUCGGAGUGUAAACCGCUGUCAGGGGCUAGCAAGCAAUGAAGGUUAAUAUCCUUCUGCGUUGAGCAACCCCAGAGGAAGUCACGGCUAACUUCGUGCCAGCAGCCGCGGUAAUACGAAGGUGGCAAGCGUUGUUCGGAAUCACUGGGCUUAAAGAGCACGUAGGCGGGCUAUCAAGCGUCUUGUGAAAUCCCUCGGCUCAACCGAGGAAUUGCUUGGCGAACUGGCAGCCUUGAGGCAGGUAGGGGCGAGUGGAACUCUUGGUGGAGCGGUGGAAUGCGUAGAUAUCAAGAGGAACGCCGGUGGCGAAGGCGACUCGCUGGGCCUGUCCUGACGCUGAGGUGCGAAAGCUAGGGUAGCGAACGGGAUUAGAUACCCCGGUAGUCCUAGCCCUAAACGAUGUCAACUAGGUCGAAGGGCUUCUGACAGAUUUUCGGCCGAAAUGAAAACGAUAAGUUGACCGCCUGGGGAGUACGGUCGCAAGGCUAAAACUCAAA